rnacentral:pre_miRNA from 3 species
UGGUAUCCUUACUUUCAGUGUCAUCAAAAAUGGCUGAAGAAAGAUAUAUUUGCAUUUGAAGCGUAUCACAGCCAGCUUUGAUGGGCAUUGCAAUGAGCAUCGA